ensembl:snRNA U6 U6 spliceosomal RNA
GUGCUUGCUUCAGUACACAUACACUAAAGUCACAACAAUACAGGGAAGAUUAGCAUGGCCCCUGUGCACAGAUGACAGGCAAAUUCAUGAUGGGUUCCAUAUUUUU